CCAGGGGAAGCAGUAGCUGGAACUUAUGCUGUGAUGGGAGCAUUGUGCCUUUUGGCUGAUGGCUAAAUUGUCCUGUGCCAGGAUGCUCCCAGGGCUGCAGACUUCAGCAUGUGCCUUGCAGCUGGAACAGAACCUGCUCCUGGGUCCCUGUAGGGCCAGGCUGAGUGUGUGUAGCAAGUCAUCACCAACAUUCACUUGCAACUAAUCCAUGGACUCAUUCCAAGUCUGCCCAGGUCCCGCCCCUGAGGACCUCCAGGCUCCAGGCUCCACCCACAGAACAUUCUAACAGCCUUAAUGGAAUGGCCCAGUCUCUCCAGCCCCUGGCAGUAAAGCUCUGCCCUACAGAAUAAAGAGCCCAAGCCCAGGACUUAAGAACCAGCCUGGAAAUCUCCAUCCUGAGAUAAACCCUGUGUUCUGCUCAGUUCUCUGCUGCUUCUCACCCGAGCAGGGUUUUCCCUCCCAAUAAAUCUCUUGUGUGAGGUC